AAAAGAAUUAUUUGUACAUUGGUUUUUUUUUUUUUUUUAACUGUCACAAAAUUCCUUUUCUUCCUCAAGUAUAUACAACACCCUUGAACCUACUCUAUCGUGUAGGCUUAUUUACAGACGCUAGCGUACAUGAGAAAGAUAUGAUAUACAACAUCAAUGUACAACUUUAAAGACAACAAAUGAAAAAAACCAAUGUACAAAUAAUUCUUUUUUUGUAAGUGUAUGAUGAUUGAAAAAG
rnacentral:misc_RNA from 1 species